rnacentral:rRNA from 1 species
GACGAACGCUGGCGGCGUGCUUAACACAUGCAAGUCGAACGGAAAGGCCCUGCUUUUGUGGGGUGCUCGAGUGGCGAACGGGUGAGUAACACGUGAGUAACCUGCCCUUGACUUUGGGAUAACUUCAGGAAACUGGGGCUAAUACCGGAUAGGAGCUCCUGCUGCAUGGUGGGGGUUGGAAAGUUUCGGCGGUUGGGGAUGGACUCGCGGCUUAUCAGCUUGUUGGUGGGGUAGUGGCUUACCAAGGCUUUGACGGGUAGCCGGCCUGAGAGGGGGACCGGCCACAUGGGGACUGAGGUACGGCCCAGACGCCUACGGGAGGCAGCAGUGGGGAAUAUUGCACAAUGGGCGGAAGCCUGAUGCAGCAACGCCGCGUGCGGGAUGACGGCCUUCGGGUUGUAAACCGCUUUCGCCUGUGACGAAGCGUGAGUGACGGUAAUGGAUAAAGAAGCACCGGCUAACUACGUG